CCUAGUCUCCUCUGUGUCUCAGGACUACCCCGUGUGAGAUUUCUUUGUGGGGUCGCAGAGAUCAUCAGGCUGGAGCGAUGGGUCUUCAAAGGUCCUGCUGGAAUUUAUCUGAGUCGUCAACAGUUGCCUCUAAAAUUGGCAUGGGCCAUAUCCAUCCACAAGAGCCAGGGCAUGUCGUUAGACUGUGUGGAGAUCUCCCUGUCUCGUGUCUUUGAAAGUGGUCAGGCUUAUGUAGCCCUUUCCCGAGCCCGUAGUCUUGAGGGCCUCCGAGUUCUGGAUUUUGAUCCCAACGUUGUGAGAGCCAAUCCAUAUGUGCUACAAUUCUACAAUCACUUACAGAAAGAGCAACUUCUAUAUCAGAUGCACUGAAGCAGAGGGGAAGGAGAAUUGGAAAUCUAGCUGAGAAUACCGUGGGCUACUUCUGAGAGACACAAGCAUAGACUGUUCUGGUCUCAGCAGCCAAGCUGUUGGGCAGAUCUUAUACUACUUGUGAAUUUUUACUUCAUCUGUGUUUCUGAUUCAUUGGCUCGAAGCCCACACAUGCCCAGACAGUGAAAACACUAGAUGUUCAGAGAGUUAACUUUCUGAGGAAACUCUACAUCUGCUUACAUCCUGCCUAUUUUGGAUAGAAGACAGCAUCGCAUGCCAACCUCUCUUCGGGUACAUCUAAACUACAUGCCUCCGUCGACAGAGGCAUGUAGAUUUGUGUAUUCGAAAAAGGGAAAUGAAGCCGUGAUUAACAUAAUCGUGGCU